CCUUUUUGGUAUGUCUUUACUUUUGUCAGCAUUAAAAGUACGUUUUGAAGAAUGAGACUUGAGAUUAAUGUGAAAAUUCCUAAUGCCAACUAAAAGGCCAUGAGACACAGAAAUUAUCAAUGAAUUUGGUCUAUCCGGUUACACUAUUAUUAACUAACAUUCGUUUUAAAGCGACCUAUACAUCAGUACGCGUUAGUAUUUUAUAAAACAUCUAGUACUAUUGGUAUACAGGUAG
rnacentral:lncRNA from 1 species